CGUUUAUUCAACCCACAGCGUCUGCGUUUCCUCCUUCUCUACCUACCUUCCCCGCUUACUACCCGGAAGACUAUUCAACGUUCAUGACCCAACCGUUUACUUACGGGUCGGAUCUUCACCAAACCGGGUCAUUAACCGGGCUCAACCACCUCUUUUCCAGCCAAGCUCAUCCUCUUCCUCCCAUGCACCAUCAGAGCCACAACAACACCUUCUCGAACCUUCUCAGCCCUAAGCCGUUACUGAUGAAGCAGACCGGUGCCACCGGAUCUUGUUUCGCCUACGGUGCUCCGGCCAAGCCGACGAAGCUGUACAGAGGCGUGAGGCAGCGUCACUGGGGG
rnacentral:lncRNA from 1 species